GAUAGACACUGGCUGACGACGA
rnacentral:miRNA from 1 species